rnacentral:rRNA from 1 species
UUUCCGUAGGUGAACCUGCGGAAGGAUCAUUGUCGAAACCUUCGAGGCAGAACGACCCGCGGACGAGUGAAAACGAGCGCGGGCGGCGGGCCUCUGGGCCGUCGCCCGACGUCCGCGGGGAGGGGCCGCGGGCAACCGCAACUCCUCUCCCGCGGGCACGAACAACGACCCCCGGCGCGAAUUGCGUCAAGGAACACGGAAAAGGAUGCGCGAUCCCCUCGUCCCGGAAACGGUGUCGCGGGGGGGUCUGCGUCGUCGUCGAUACGACAGACGAAACGACUCUCGGCAACGGAUAUCUCGGCUCUCGCAUCGAUGAAGAACGUAGCGAAAUGCGAUACUUGGUGUGAAUUGCAGAAUCCCGUGAACCAUCGAGUUUUUGAACGCAAGUUGCGCCCGAAGCCGUCAGGCCGAGGGCACGCCUGCCUGGGUGUCACGCAAAGUCGCCACGAACCCACUCACCCCCCGCCCCUUCCGCGGGGAACGUUGAGGGACGGCGGAUAUUGGCCUCCCGUGGGCUCCCGCUCGCGGUUGGUCCAAAAAACGGUCCCCUGGCGACGGCAGCCACGGCACGCGGUGGUUGGCAGAACGAGCUCCUCUAACACCGUCGUGGGCGAGCCUCGUCGAUGGGGGUGCGAACGACCCCGGCGCGAGCGCCACUGUAAAAGCGACCCCAGGUCCCAGGCGGGAACACCCGCUGAGUUUAAG